rnacentral:lncRNA from 1 species
GCUGCCUUCAGCCACACCAGAAGGGGGUAUCAGAUGGCUGUGAGCCACCAUGUGGUUGCUGGGAAUUGAACUCAGGACCUCUGGAAGAGCAGUCAGUGCUCUUAACCACUGAGCCAUCUCCACAGCCCAAUAAUAAUUAUUUUUCAAGUUACAAUUAUUAAGACACCAUGGUACUAGCACAAUAAUGACAUGUAAGGGAGCUAGAGACAACUCAACACUUAGCAGCAUUCUAAAUUAACAGAAUUGAACCCAGACCCACUCAAACCCUCAUAUUACAGUCAAUUUUUAAAAAUGUAUUCAUUUUACUUUCUAUAUAUGAGUGUUUGCCUGGAUAUAUGUUUGUGUAACGCCUUAUGUUCCCGGUGCCCACAGAGACCAGAAGAGGGCAUCAGAUCUGGAGUAACAGAGGGUCAAGAGGUACCAUGUGGGUGCUGGGAUCAAGCCCAAGUCCUCUGCAAGAGCACCAAGUGCCCUUAACCACAGAGCCAUCUCGCCAGAGCCCAUUGCGGUUUUCUGAGACACUGCACUGUAUACCCUGGCUGUCUGGAACUUAAAGGCGAAGGCAACUCAGCAGAGAAGAAUGUGGCACUGAGACAACCCAGACUCAUCAAAAGAACGAGGUUGAGCCAGACCGUGGUGGUGCUCACCUUUGUCCCAGUGCUCAGGACAUAGCAGUAGCAGGUGGGUCUCUGAGUUUAAAGUUAAACAGAGAGAGUUCCAGGACAGCUAGGGCUACACAGA